AUUCAGGUCAUAUAGUACAUUCUC
rnacentral:siRNA from 1 species